GGCUCGGUGGUGUAGUUGGUUAUCACGUCAGUCUAACAGCUAUUUAGCGCAACACUGAAGGUCCCGUGUUCGAGCCACGGCUGAGUCA